rnacentral:rRNA from 1 species
CUUACACAUGCAAGUCAACUUGAAUUUGGGUUUUUUAACUUAGAUUUGGGUGGCGGACGGGUGAGUAACGCGUAAAGAACUUGCCUCACAGCUAGGGACAACAUUUGGAAACGAAUGCUAAUACCUGAUAUUAUGAUUUUAAGGCAUCUUAGAAUUAUGAAAGCUAUACGCGCUGUGAGAGAGCUUUGCGUCCCAUUAGCUAGUUGGAGAGGUAACGGCUCACCAAGGCGAUGAUGGGUAGCCGGCCUGAGAGGGUGAACGGCCACAAGGGGACUGAGACACGGCCCUUACUCCUACGGGAGACAGCAGUGGGGAAUAUUGGACAAUGGACCAAGAGUCUGAUCCAGCAAUUCUGUGUGCACGAUGACGUUUUUCGGAAUGUAAAGUGCUUUCAGUUGGGAAGAAAAAAAUGACGGUACCAACAGAAGAAGUGACGGCUAAAUACGUGCCAGCAGCCGCGGUAAUACGUAUGUCACGAGCGUUAUCCGGAUUUAUUGGGCGUAAAGCGCGUCUAGGUGGUUAUGUAAGUCUGAUGUGAAAAUGCAGGGCUCAACUCUGUAUUGCGUUGGAAACUGUGUAACUAGAGUACUGGAGAGGUAAGCGGAACUACAAGUGUAGAGGUGAAAUUCGUAGAUAUUUGUAGGAAUGCCGAUGGGGAAGCCAGCUUACUGGACAGAUACUGACGCUGAAGCGCGAAAGCGUGGGUAGCAAACAGGAUUAGAUACCCUGGUAGUCCACGCCGUAAACGAUGAUUACUAGGUGUUGGGGGUCGAACCUCAGCGCCCAAGCAAACGCGAUAAGUAAUCCGCCUGGGGAGUACGUACGCAAGUAUGAAACUCAAAGGAAUUGACGGGGACCCGCACAAGCGGUGGAGCAUGUGGUUUAAUUCGACGCAACGCGAGGAACCUUACCAGCGUUUGACUCUUAGGAAAGAGACAGAGAUGUUUCAGUGUCC